rnacentral:tmRNA from 1 species
GGGGGCGACCUGGAUUCGACGUCGGUGAGGAGGCCCUAGGUGCAUGCCGAGAGGGUAGACACUCUCGUAAAUCAAAGCCUACAACCAAUAUAGUUGCCAACGACGACAACUACGCUCUCGCAGCCUAAUAAGCUGUGAGCCUCUUGGUGCCACCUGCCUGUGGGUGAAUCCUCGAGGUCGCUAAACACAGGAUCGCGGGGAGGCUUCGCCCGGAGCCAAGCCGCUAAAACCAAUCGGGAUCGCCCUCUCAGAGCCUGUCCGUUGGCGCUGAUCGGGUUAAACGAAAUAACGAGACUAAGCGUGUAGAGCCGAAGGCUGAAUGCUGGCGGACGCGGGUUCGAUUCCCGCCGCCUCCACCA